CCAGGUUCCUUUUCUCACUCCCACCCACCAACACACUCCCGUCCCCCUCCUUCCCGGUUGCUCGGCGCGUGGACUGUCAGAAAGAUCACUUUAACUGCUGUUCCUGAUCCCUUUCCUUACAACGUUUAUCCCGUCUGCAGGAAUCGCGAUUUAAUCAGAACAUGCCUCCCAAAAAAGGAGAUUGUGAACCCAAGUUACCACCCAUUAUAGGACGAUUUGGAACCUCUUUGAAGAUUGGCAUUGUUGGCUUGCCAAAUGUAGGGAAAUCUACAUUUUUUAACGUUCUUACAAAAAGUCAGGCAGCUGCAGAAAACUUUCCCUUCUGUACCAUUGAUCCCAAUGAAAGCAGAGUGCCAGUUCCAGAUGAGCGAUUUGACUUCCUCUGCAAGUACCACAAGCCUGCC